rfam:Triticum aestivum genome assembly, contig: Triticum_aestivum_CS42_TGACv1_scaffold_250781_3DL
CUGAUACUCCCUUCGUCCGGAAAUACUUAUCGCAAAAAUGGGUAAAAAUAUAUGCAUCUAAAACUAAAAUACAGCUAGAUACAUCCAUUCCUCCGACAAAUAUUUCCGGACGGAGGGAGUAUAUG